GUUAAGGUGGCAGAGCCCG
rnacentral:tRNA from 3 species